UAGGGAAUCUUCCGCAAUGGACGCAAGUCUGACGGAGCAACGCCGCGUGAGUGAAGAAGGAUUUCGGUUCGUAAAACUCUGUUGUUAGAGAAGAACAGCGCAUAGAGUAACUGUUAUGCGUGUGACGGUAUCUAACCAGAAAGCCACGGCUAACUACGUGCCAGCAGCCGCGGUAAUACGUAGGUGGCAAGCGUUGUCCGGAUUUAUUGGGCGUAAAGCGAGCGCAGGCGGUCAAUUAAGUCUGAUGUGAAAGCCCCCGGCUCAACCGGUGAGGGUCAUUGGAAACUGGUUGACUUGAGUGCAGAAGAGGAGAGUGGAAUUCCAUGUGUAGCGGUGAAAGGCGUAGAUUUAUGGAGGAACACCAGUGGCGAAGGCGACUCUCUGGUCUGUAACUGACGCUGAGGUUCGAAAGCGUGGGUAGCAAACAGG
rnacentral:rRNA from 1 species